UGGAGGUAUUGGAAAUGACACUGGGAAUAGUAGCAUGUUUCUGGGGUGGGCAGAAGGGGGGGUAAGGGCUGGGGGGAGGGGUGGGGAAAGUGGGGGAGGGGCAGUAGCGGGGUUAUGGUCCUAUACCAGCAGCAGUCAGAAACAAUUUCUUCGUGACCUAGAUUUAAAAAUGUUCCCAGAGGAGAGCCACUGUUGUCGGGAGAACUGAUUUAGCAGAGACACGACAUUUCCUAUGAACAGGAGGACAAUGUCUCUCCAGCCUUGAUUUUUCUGAUUCACAAAAGCCACACAGAGCUGAUCAGACAAAGGCCCCCUCAGUCAUUUUGGAUCUCUUUGAAAUUUUUUAGCUAGCAUUUUCUCUCUGGAGAGGACGAGCCUUUUCAGGUUGGAGUGCCCUGUUUCCUACACCUUAGAAAUGAGACCUCCAGCCAGACUGGUGCAGUCGGAAGGGACGGUGCUACCAGGGGGAGGACCAAGCUUAACACUUAGUCUCCUCAGCGUGCCGAGGGACUCAUGCAUUGCUGUCUUUAAACAUUUGAGUGCGUACUUGCUAUGUCUGCACUUGGGAGGUGGAGGCCGGGGGAUCCAGAAUUCAGGGUAGGAACUGGAAAGAUGACUCAGAAGUUAAAAAGCAGCAGCAGAGGACCCUAGCUCAGUUCCUAACGCCCAUUCUGGCAUCUCACAACCUGAAACUCCAGCUCCAGGGGAUAGGAUAGUCCCUGCUUUACCUCCGUGGCUGCCUGUACCCCUGUGGGCACCUGUACCCAUGUGAUCUCUUGCCCACCAAUACAUGUAAGUCAAAGCAAAGUUAUUCUUAAGAGUUCACGGUUUCCUUGGCUACAAGAGACCCUGUUUAAAACAAAAUAAAUCUAAAUUAACAAACAAAUGGGAUAAAGUUGACAAAACCAGAGAGUGGAGUUUUCUGAUUAAUGAUGGUUUGAUAAGUUUUUCUGUUGUAAACACAUGUAAACAACCCAUAAUUAAUAUUAUAAAUACAUAAUCAAUCGAACAUUUCUUUUCUUGCAAAUAAA
rnacentral:lncRNA from 1 species